rnacentral:rRNA from 1 species
UACGUAGGGGGCUAGCGUUGUCCGGAAUCAUUGGGCGUAAAGCGCGUGUAGGCGGUCCGGUAAGUCCGCUGUGAAAGUCGGGGGCUCAACCCUCGAAUGCCGGUGGAUACUGUCGGGCUAGAGUGCGGAAGAGGCGAGUGGAAUUCCUGGUGUAGCGGUGAAAUGCGUAGAUAUCGGGGAGGAACACCUGUGGCGAAAGCGGCGCACUGGACCAUAACUGACGCUGGAUGACGCGAAAGCUAGGGGAGCAAACAGG